rnacentral:lncRNA from 1 species
AACCGGUCGUAAGAGUCAAGGAAAUGCCAGCUCCUACAUCAUAUUUGUCCUCUAGUGAGGUGAAUUCACAGCCAAUCACCGGCAAGCGGAACGUAAUGAGAGUAAUCUCUUAAUUAACUUUGAAGUUAGAGUCUAAAUAGUUUUCAUAACUUGGGGCCAAAAGGUAAUCAAACAGAAUGUUCAUGUAAAAGUCAAUGAUAGUGAAGCGAUAGUGAAAUCACUUAAAUGGAUCAAUCGGUCAAAGUGUGGAAUGAAAUCUUCAUCUCAAAGAUUAUUGGAAUCAAUUAAUAGAAAGUGAUGGGAGGAAUGAUUAUUCAAAGAUUUUACGACCACUUCAUUGGAUCAAUAGCAGUCUAGAAAUGUGAGGAAGGAUGGAUGACGUAACUUGCCCUUCAAUAAUGGGAAUCGCGUCCUCGUGAUCCUCAUUGAUAUCUACCAUGAUAUUUGCAUUGUUUAUCUUUGUUUUACAACAAAAGUAUAUUAUUGGCAAAAUAAUCAAUAUUGCGGUUUUCCAAAUGUUUAUGAUGAACAUAUUACAAAGUCAAAUUACUAUAUUCCCCACAGCUUAUAUUCCUAAUUACAUUGGGUAGUAUGACGUUAUUUUCAAUGUAGUAUAUUUGGUUCUUAAACGUAAGGUUAUUUAUAUUUAUUUGAGAAUUUACGUAUUUAAUCAAAUUAUGUCGUGGUAAUAUAAUAUUUUGGUCUUUAUCAUUUAAAUUUUUUGUUACAAUGAUAUUUUUCAUUUAUUUGUCCGACUUACUUGAAGGAGCGAUCUUUCCAUUCCCUAAGUGGGGUGAACUCAGACCAAAAACGGAUCGAUGAAUGAUUUCGAUGGCAACGCAUGAUGGCUGUGUGCUGGAGAGCUCUUUGCUGAGACGAAGGGAUUUAUGUGCGCUAUUCGGGUCGGCGUGGUCGCCACCCGAGUUUAUGAAAAACGGGUGGCGAACGACCAAUGCAGAAUAUAUGGUUCGGCACUGGAGACUUUGGACCAUCUUAUUCCUGGUUGCACUUUAUAGGCCAUUAUUGGCGGCGGUGCAAUACACAAUGCUGCAUGUAAAGUGAUUAACCGAAGCUUUGCAUACAAACAUGGAAUGAUCACGGGAACAUGUCCGGUUUACUGAUAUGAGCCCCAGGCACUACCUAAUCGUCCUGUUUACAGUAUGUAUUGUUAAAACAAACCCGAUGUCCUUUUAGUUCAGAGACGGGUCGUUCUGCGCACAUUAUUGAUAUUGCUAUACCCCAAAACAGCAACAUUGAACGGAAGUACGUGGAGAAUACGGUGAACUAUGAGGCACUUGUUUGGAAAUCAAAGAAAUUUGGCGUCUCGAGCGGUUGGUUGUAGAUGCCAUAAUGCAUGUAUUGUACCAAAAUCCCUCAUGGCUUCCUCUGAUGUCCUGGAACUAUGCAAAAAUAUACCAUUCCACAUUCAUGCUCGAGAUUGCGGGGAGUUUUCGACGGAUUCUUCCAUUCACCUACCACCGGCCACCACCACCAGCGCUCCUUUAUCUUUGAAGUAGGUAGGAUGGUCAGAGCCUAAAUGCUUGGCACUUAGUGGCAGUAUUAUAUGAAAUCCGUAACUUGCCCAGAUUGUGAAACCUCUAGAAAAUAAAUAAUGAGAAGAGUCUUUUUAUAGUUAUUUGUUUUUCCAAGUUAGAAGUGGUAUCAUGAAUUUUGUUAAUCCACUAAUGUCAAACAGAUAAGAAACUAGCGUUGAUCUUAUUCAACCACUUCUUGCCCAUCGCUGUCGAGCACUUAUCAAAUUAGUGAAGUUAGUUAUGUCCGCCAAUCUUCACGCAACAAUAUGGCUGCUAGCUGUGAAUAUCAAAUUCAAUCUGUGUUUUCGCGUCUGCAACAUCAAGAUAAUGGUAAUCUUUUACAUAAAAUGUGGCUAUUACUGCAAAUAUCAUAAUUCAAAUUAAAUUAAAAUCUUAC